GGCUCAUUAUUCGAAUGGUUUAGAUUAGGUUUUAGCAUUUUAAAACGGCAUCAUAAUGUUUCUUUAACUCAUGCCAAACAUAAACAUACAGAGAAAAGUUGGAAAUCCCCCCUGUAUGGCAUAAGCACGAACCCGUGACUAACACUAGCAUAGCAGCUAACACGGACUUCCCCCUUUUCUCUGUAAAAGUCUGUUGUAACGGUUAUAAAGGGAUGAAUCGGCUAAUUAGGUCGCUAGCUAGCUAACACAUUUGUCAGUUACCAUGUCUUUGUCUUAGUGUCAGUCAAGCUUUCGCGUUAGCUUAAUCCCGUUAGCAUAAUGCUAAUGCCGUUAUGAGGGUACUCAAUCCCUGUUAGAUUUCUGUACGGUUAGCUAACGUUAGCCAAUUUUAAUGCAUUUUUGAAACGCUGUUAAUGCUGGGGUUAGUAAUGCCUAUUAACAAAUUAAUUAUGACGGCCAAAUUACUUUGUAUUUUAGCUAAGUUACUAGUUAGUCAUUCGUAACUAGUCGUAUAUUUCGUACAGAAUAUUCCACACUUCCAUUCAUGUCAGAAUUAUAAAUGAGCAACCAACCAAUUUCAAUGCAUUUAUGAAACCUCUAAAACCAAAUCAUUGUUUUCAUUUACUCAACUAACUUAAAUCAAGCUGAGAAAUGUUAAAAUGCAAAUAAAUAAACCAACAUCAGCAUAAUUAGCUCUAGUAGCCUGCUAGGCACUAGCUGAGGCUAACCAUUGACUUGAGUAAGAACAAGCUCAAGCUCAAGCUUAUGUCAUAAAUACUGUGGGUGCUUGUCUAAGGCAUGUCUGUGUUUUUUUUUAUCUGUUUUUAUUUAUUUAAUGUAUACAUAUUUAUUUUAUGUAUGACUGAGAUUGACUUUAAUCUGGGUUGUCAUGUUAUAUCAGCAAUAUUUAACUGCAGUAAUCUACUUCUGUAAUUACUUUUUUUAAAACGCUGCAACGUUAAACUUACUACAAGUUUGUCUUAUUGUUUCCUCUCCUAGACAACAGAACAUCGAUCAUCUCCUCUGUGGUUGAUAAGUAUAGUAAUAUUGUACCUGAAAUUGAUAACAGGCCACAUAACUGUUUAGCAUCUGUAUGCUUUUUUCAAAUGUUGAUUUAUUUCAUUGUUUAUCUUAUUUGUUGAACAGUUGUUUGGGCUUUAAAAUAUUAGACAAUUGGGAAAACGUCAUGCAAAAGUCUCCCAGGAUUAUGUCCUUGUGUUUUGCCCAUAAAUUACAGAGAUUCAGUUUACUCUCAUAGAGAAGCAAAGCAAUCAGAAAAUAUUGCAUAUUGCAGCCAAAAUCAGAGAAUUUAACUUCAUUCAUCAAUGAAUAGCAACAUCUUGAAUGCUGUGUACCAUAGUGCUAUAGAUUUGCACAUCUUAAAUCCUUCAGAAGCAAUGACAGCAAUCAAAGGUAAACAGUUUAGUCUUGUUAGCAAGACAGUUAGUAUUACCACACAGCUCAGUUUCACACUGCAAUAUACAAUUAUCUUCCUAGAAAAACAUCACUUUGGAAUGAGAUGGAUAAUACAUGAAGUAAUAACUUGAGACAUUUAUAAUGAAUAAAAUAAUGACUUUUGAACGAGACAGUGAUUUUAAAUAAGGACAUACAGAGUCUUGCUUUUUGUUGUUGCUUUUUAAAAUGGAACUGAGAAUGUCUCUUUUUUUUUCUUCUCUCCAUCCCUCACCCUCCUUGGACUCUUCCUGGACUCCUCCUUUCUGUGUUUAACUGCAGACCCUCACUGCUGGUGAAUUAUUGCUGACUGAGCUAAGUGGCCUAGUGUUCCCUGUCUACUCCACUUUGGACGUCUUGGUGACUCCUUGGUGAUCUGACAGUGUCCUGCUGGCCAGCAUCUCUCCUCUCCUCUAUCAUAAACGCUCUCUGUCUAUCCUAUACCUUCUAUCCACUCUGUCUCAAUAUUGGAACCAUCAAAUCCACCGCUCUGUCUUUGAUAUCCACAAAUCUUUGUAUCCCCCUUCUAUCCACUCUGUCUCAUUAUUGAAACCUCUAUCUAUCCUAUCAAAUCUACCGCUCUGUCUACAAUAUACAAUUCAGGUUACUAAUACCUGAUCUAACCACAUAACGUUGGUUACCCUUUAUUACAACAACCUCACAAGUACCUGAUCUAUCUUUUGAUGAACAAACUCUGCUGAACCACAUAACGUUGGUUACACUUCGUUACAACAACCUCAGGUUACAAGUACCUGUUCUACUAGAUCUACUAUCAGAUUAUCCUCUUUUAAUCUCCUAUCUACACGCAAUAGAAUACGAUUACUAUCUACAAAUUGUACAGAUAGUACGAUUGUGUAUUAUACACAUAGCACGGUUUCUUUAAUUGAAUAUCACUAGAUAUAUUAUCAAAAUUAUUGUUUACUUUAUUUAAAAUCUUUUUUAUAUACACAUACAUUGUUUAAGUGUCCAAGUGUUUUGUUGUUAAACUUUUC